ensembl:lncRNA
UAGACCAGAGGAGCUGGGGGACUGGUGGAGGACCCCCAGUAAGACCAGAGGCAGAUGGGGGACUGGUGGAGGACCCCCAGUAAGACCAGAGAAAGAUGGGGGACUGGUGGAGGACCCCCACUUAGACCAGAGGAGCUGGGGGACUGGUGGAUGACCCCCAGUUAGACCAGAGGAGCUGGGGGACUGGUGGAUGACCCCCAGUUAGACCAGAUGAGCUGGGGGACUGAUGGAGGACCCCCUGUAAGACCAGAGGAGCUGGGGGACUGGUGUAGGACCACCAGUAAGACCGGAGGCAGAUGGGAGACUGGUGGAGGACCCCCACUUAGACCAGAGGAGCUGGGGGACUGGUGGAGGACCCCCAGUAAGACCAGAGGCAGAUGGGAGACUGGUGGAGGAUCCCCAGUAAGACCAGACGAGCUGGGGGACUGGUGGAGGACCCCCAGUAAGACCAGAGGCAGAUGGGGGACUGGUGGAGGACCCCCAGUAAGACCAGAGGCAGAUGGGAGACUGGUGGAGGAUCCCCAGUAAGACCAGAGGAGCUGGGGGACUGGUGGAGGACCCCCAGUAAGACCAGAGGCAGAAUGGGGACUGGUGGAGGAACCACCAGUUAGACCAGAGGAGCUGGGGGACUGGUGGAGGACCCCCAGUAAGACCAGAGGCAGAAUGGGGACUGGUGGAGGACGCCCAGUUAGACCAGAGGAGCUGGGGGACUGGUGGAGGACCCCCAGUUAGACCAGAGAAGCUGGGGAACUGGUGGAGGACCCCCAGUUAGACCAGAGGAGCUGGGGGACUGGUGGAGGACCCCCAAUUAGACCAGAGGAGCUGGGG